UACGGGGGGAGCAAGCGUUGUUCGGAUUUACUGGGCGUAAAGGGCACGUAGGCGGCCACCGCAAGUCGGUUGUGAAAUCUCUGGGCUUAACCCAGAAAGGUCAACCGAUACUGCGGGGCUAGAGUGCAGAAGGGGCAACUGGAAUUCUCGGUGUAGCGGUGAAAUGCGUAGAUAUCGAGAGGAACACCUGCGGCGAAGGCGGGUUGCUGGGCUGACACUGACGCUGAAGCGCGAAAGCUAGGGGAGCGAACGGG
rnacentral:rRNA from 1 species